UACGAAGGGUGCAAGCGUUAAUCGGAAUUACUGGGCGUAAAGCGUGCGUAGGCGGUUUCUUAAGUCUGAUGUGAAAGCCCUGGGCUCAACCUGGGAAUUGCACUGGAUACUGGCAGGCUAGAGUGCGGUAGAGGAUGGCGGAAUUCCCGGUGUAGCAGUGAAAUGCGUAGAGAUCGGGAGGAACAUCCGUGGCGAAGGCGGCCAUCUGGACCAGCACUGACACUGAGGCACGAAAGCGUGGGGAGCAAACAGG
rnacentral:rRNA from 1 species